rnacentral:rRNA from 1 species
CACGUAGGCGGAUUGGAAAGUCAGAGGUGAAAUCCCAGAGCUCAACUUUGGAACUGCCUUUGAAACUCUCAGUCUUGAGGUCGAGAGAGGUGAGUGGAAUUCCGAGUGUAGAGGUGAAAUUCGUAGAUAUUCGGAGGAACACCAGUGGCGAAGGCGGCUCACUGGCUCGAUACUGACGCUGAGGUGCGAAAGCGUGGGGAGCAAACA